AUUGAACGCUGGCGGCAUGCCUUACACAUGCAAGUCGAACGGCAGCAUGGGUGCUUGCACCUGAUGGCGAGUGGCGAACGGGUGAGUAAUGCAUCGGAACGUACCUUUCAGUGGGGGAUAACGUAGCGAAAGUUACGCUAAUACCGCAUAUUCUGUGAGCAGGAAAGCAGGGGAUCUUCGGACCUUGCGCUGAUGGAGCGGCCGAUGUCAGAUUGGCUAGUUGGUGGGGUAAAGGCCUACCAAGGCGACGAUCUGUAGCGGGUCUGAGAGGAUGAUCCGCCACACUGGGACUGAGACACGGCCCAGACUCCUACGGGAGGCAGCAGUGGGGAAUAUUGGACAAUGGGGGGAACCCUGAUCCAGCUAUGCCGCGUGUGUGAAGAAGGCCUUCGGGUUGUAAAGCACUUUAGUUGGGGAAGAAGGUGUAUUGUUUAAGAGAUGAUACAUUUGACUGUACCCAAAGAAUAAGCACCGGCUAACUCUGUGCCAGCCGCCGCGGUAA
rnacentral:rRNA from 1 species